ensembl:lncRNA
AUGGAGACAUUGAGGCUUCGGACAGGUGUGCGGACAGGAGGCCCGGGGUCUCCCGAUGCCCUUCCCAGCGUCCCCCUGCGCCUCGCCGGCGAUCUGGGCGCAGUGGCGGAGGGUCUCCCGCGCACAUGGGAGGACAGCUCAGCCUUCCAGUCCCCCGGCGUGCCACUGAGGCCUGCAGCGCAGCUGGGUCACCCUCAGAACGCCGGACCCGGAGCAAGGGCGAACACCGUGAGGCGCUGCGCUCGUGGCUUGCAUGUGGCGUCCACGUUGAAACGAAGCAGGCUCGACGCUGGAAACUCGCUUCACCCACCCGCCCCUUCGCCAUCCGCUGGCGGCGACUGCACGCCCAGAAUCCCCCGUGCGCUUCCCACGCCUCUUGGACGGCCGCCCCGGAAGCGCGCUCGCCCUGGAGGUCGCAGAACGAGCGGGCACGUCCUAGAAGGGAGCAAAUCCCUCCGAGGAGGCGCAGGAGAUUCACAGGCAGCCUCUAUGCGUGCACCUCCAUUCAGGAUGUGCCAGGACGGCAGACCACAGGCAGCGCCAGAAACGGCUCGCGAUGCUGGCAGGUCAAACAGCCGGGCACCUGGGCGUGGGGACACCGGAGGGACACUGGUUGUACACGCGUGCUGCAGAGUUGGUGACCAUGGGCAGUGCAGCCGCUGGGUUUGGCCUGUGAGGCCAUCCUCGAGGUUCUCUGGAGGCCAGCAAGGGGCUUUCACAGCUGAGAGGUGUGUAAGGACCCAAUAUGGCAGGAGCUGCCCUCGCCAGCUGCCCAGAGUGAGCUGGCUCUCCCAGGCUGGAGGGGCUGCCCCAGGGUGCUCAGACAGCCAGGCACUUACUUCACUCCCUGACCCCGACCCCCAGUGGGAGGUCAGUGGGUGCCACUAAGUCCUCCCCAACCCUGCCAGACGGCAGUGUACAAAAACCUGGGUUCACAUCCAGCUUGGCUGCUCACUGUCAUGACAAGUGGGCAGAUGCCCUGGGCCUCAGUUGGCCCAUCUGUAAGUGGGGCCAAGAGACAGCACCUCCGUCACAGGGCUGGGUGUGGGGUGAACAGGUUGGUCCCUGGAGACAAGUGGUGUGGUGCCCUGAGGCCUGAGGCCAGGCUCCAAGGCCGCUCAAGGAAUAGGGGAUUUGAGGCAGCUCAGAGAGGACAGGCCCAGCAGCCAGCCCCAGCCUGAUAUCUCCCCUCUGCUUAGGCCCCAGACGCAGCUGCAUCCUGGAAUUGUUCUGAGAAAUCUGGGACCUGCCCCACCUCCACCCAGGCAGGGGGCACCAGCCAGCUCCAGAGUUGCCCACCUUCCCUCACAGGCGCACAGGUCAGUGCCAGGCCAACCCCAGAGCGAGAACACCGGUGCUGGACUGUGCUGAAGCAGCGAGGUGGCCUGCACAGGUGAGGUUGCCAGGAACAGUCAGUGCAGCUGUGCCCAGUCCUGGGCAGGGCAGCCAUGGGAGGGCCCUGACUGCGGAGGGGUGUCCAGAGAGCCUGCCCCACUAUGGAGAAGCCUGCGGGGAAGAAGGUGGCAGAAGGGAGGCGGGGCUGGUCUUGGCGGCCACUGUCUGGCCAGUUCGGAUCCUAGUCAUGCCUUGGCUCCACCUAGGUUGCAGGCAAAGAACCUGUUCAGAGAUUCUGCUGGGCAUCAGGCCACUGUUUCCAGCGGCCAGAUAGCUUCCUGGGGCCUCAGGACUCUGGGCUGCCCUCUGGCCCCGGGGAAGGUUGCCAGGCCAUGGGCAGGGAGAAAAGCAGAAGGGGGAUGGGAGGGGGAGGAGAGUCUCAGCCAGUGUCCCGCUCGGAUGCACAGCACUGUUGUUCAGUCACCAGCUGGCUGGGAGGACGGCUUCCACUGCAGGAUGGACCCCAGGGAGGAGGAUGGAACUUCAUUGUCAGACAUCCCUCACACCACAAAGUUGGAAAUUGCUCACCCAGAAAUGGGGGUAUAUGGCACUUUGGGAGGCCAAGGCAGGAGGACUGCCUGAGGCCAGGAGUUUGACGAGACCAUCCUGGACAAUAGUGUAAGACCCUGUCUUUACAAAAAUUAAAAUUAGCCAGGGCCCUGGUGUGGUGACUCAUGCUUGUAAUCCUAGCACUUUGGGAGGCCAAGGGAAGAGGAUCGCUUGAGCUCAGGAGUUUAAGAUCAGCCUGGGCAACAUGGCAAAAUCCCAUGCCGUCUCUACAAAACAAAACAAAACAAAACAAAAAAUUAACCAUGGUGGCUUGUGCCUGUAGUCCCAGCUACUUGGGAGGCUGAAGUGGGAGGAUUGCUUGAGCCAGGGAAGCAGCAGUUGCAGUGAGCCGAGAUCGUGCCACUAGA